GUCAAGGUGACAGCUAGGAUCAGUCAUCACAGCAAUCAAGCUGGGAAAAGGCACCAAGGAUACCCCUGGCAGGGUUGCAACUAUGUGACAUCCUGGAAAAGUCAAAGCUACAGAGACAGUGAAAAGAUCAGCUAGAAUUUGAGAGAAGAAGGAAGUAGGGAUGCAUUCUACAACAUGGAUGAGCCCAAGACCAUUAUGUAAAGUAAGAAAGACCAACACAGUCGCAAAGGCCUGUGUUGACACAAAUCCAUUUAGAGAACGAAAAGCUGCCAAACCUGGAAGUGUGCUGCUGGUAUCGUGAGGGACCAGGAAGGUGUCUAAGACACCGGUACACAGAAAUCAAGGAGUGUACCGUUCACCAUGGCACAACCUCCAACGCUGGUAUUGGAGAAGAGCCUGGGCACAGUCCUGAGAAGAGAGGAGGGAUGCAUGGUCCAUUGCAGGACAGGGCUCACAGUCCCACAAGGAAGACAGCGAAUGCAGCUUUGCUUGCCCCACCUACAAAACAGGAAGACAGUCCAGGACUUUCUGCCUAGGGAAUGGUGCUGCCCACAGUUAAGAGUCUUCACCCAUCAAUCAACAUAUUCACACGUCAUCAAGACAACCCCCACAGGUACACCCAGAAACCCAUCCCCCAGGUUAUUUUAGACCCUGUCAAGUUGACAACCAACCCUAGCUAUCAUAGUGGUUGUGGUAACCAGGACUGUUUAUGGACUCCAAACUACCCAACCACCAUAAAACAGGUCCUCUAAGUCACUGACAAGGUGUUGAGGCAAGGAAGAUGGUUUCACUCCAAAAUCAGCUGCAAAGAAGGCAGAGGACUGAGGCUCGAAGUUCUUCAUUUUUCCUGGGGACAGCCAGGAGCCCCUAAGGUGGGGGGGGGGGCUUAAGGAAGUAGGAGAAAAAAAGGUAUAGAGGAAAUCAAGCAGUUAUUUUCAAUAGCAGACCACAGGUGUCACGAAGAUCAGCUGCCUUGGGUGGAUACUGUCCAGACCUCCUGAGCUUUCUGUAACUCAAGCAGUUGUUAGCAUGAUGAGAUGACAUCGUCGGUCGCACAUUAGCAGACCAGACACUUCCUGCUGCCUGUGUGAGAGAGUGCAGGCUGCUUGAAGGCUGUGUGAGAUGUGGGCUCUGCUGUCUUCUCGGAUCAACCAGCUUGUCAGUAGGGAGCUGCUUCAGGACGACAGCCGAGUGACCAGCAGGAGAGCAGCUCAUUCAGUUGGGAUGUGCCACAUAGAGGAAUGACUCCAUUUCCAGGGGGCAAGCCAGGAGAUCUUGCCACAUGACUCAGAAGAUCUUGCCGUUUAAAACAUGAUUGCCUGUCUCCGAAUUUCCUGUUUGAUACCUUGGGAUCAUGGUUGGCCUGUGAGGACCUGGGCUGUGGAAAACAAAACCACAGACAAUGGGCGGGCUAUCAUAGUGGUUCUUGUGGCCAGAAUAUGUUGAAGCUGGGAGUAUGUGGGCUCUUUUGUUUGUUUGUGUCAGGCCCGUGAUUCCUUCCAACAAUCCCAUGUGGUGGUUACUGCUGCCCCCUCCCACCCCAGCUAAUGUACUGGGAAGCUCCACCCUUCAAUCACAUGUGGUGGUAGUUGGAGGUAGGGCUUUGGGGAUGUAAUUGAUGCUAGAACAGACCGUGAAGUAGGGCGUCUGUGAUGGCAUUAGUGGCUUUACAGGCUGAGGAAGCAUUAUGUGCUGCCCAUUUUCCUUCCUUCCUUCCUCCCUCCCUCCUUCCCUCCCUCCCUCCUUCC